UAAUACGUAGGUGGCAAGCGUUGUCCGGAAUUAUUGGGCGUAAAGCGCGCGCAGGCGGUCCUUUAAGUCUGAUGUGAAAGCCCUCGGCUCAACCGAGGAGGGUCAUUGGAAACUGGAGGACUUGAGUGCAGAAGAGGAAAGUGGAAUUCCAAGUGUAGCGGUGAAAUGCGUAGAGAUUUGGAGGAACACCAGUGGCGAAGGCGACUUUCUGGUCUGUAACUGACGCUGAGGCGCGAAAGCGUGGGGAGCAAACAGGAUUAGAUACCCUGGUAGUCCACGCCGUAAACGAUGAGUGCUAAGUGUUAGGGGGUUUCCGCCCCUUAGUGCUGCAGCUAACGCAUUAAGCACUCCGCCUGGGGAGUACGGUCGCAAGACUG
rnacentral:rRNA from 1 species